CACGUAGGCGGGAACUUAAGUCAGGUGUGAAAGACCGGGGGCUCAACUCCGGGGUUGCACUUGAAACUGGGUUUCUUGAGGGCAGGAGAGGAAAGCAGAAUUCCUGGUGUAGCGGUGAAAUGCGUAGAAAUCAGGAGGAAUACCAGUGGCGAAGGCGGCUUUCUGGACUGACCCUGACGCUGAGGUGCGAAAGCGUGGGUAGCAAACA
rnacentral:rRNA from 1 species